rnacentral:lncRNA from 1 species
UUUUUUUAAGUAUUUACGACCAUUAUUUUAUUAAAAAAUAACUUUAAACUUACUUAAUUUUAUAAUAAUAAUUUAUAAAAUGUUGCAUUCACGUAUAUACAUUAUAAAUUAUUUUUAUUUUAUAUGUUACGAACUUGUACAUUAUAAAUUAUUCUUAUUUUACAUGUUACGAAUUAUGUUCUUACUAGGGAGAUGGGACCUAGAGAACUAUUGAAGUUUUUUUGUUUCUUCCUUCGGUCGGUCAAAUUGCUGGGUGAUGAACUGGGGUUCCUCUCGUCCUCCUGCUUCUCCUUCGGCACUCGGUCUCGGGUGAACACCGGAUGGUGGGGUACCUGCGAAGGCACUUCGACGCUCAAGUCAGUAAAGUGGGUGGUCAGCUCUCAGGUAGGUGAACAGUAAUAAAUGGCAUACCUUACUCCUUGGGAUGUGUGCUAUUUAUAUUAUUCUAAUGGGCCUACCUUGUUGGGCCCGUUUAUCGGAGUGGACCCUGCUUAGAGUUGCAUUACUUAAUUCUUAAUGACGAAUUAGUUUCACUGACCUUGAUUUGAGCAUUAGCGGUAAUAUGGGUCGGCCGUCGGCCAAGUUUCCCUGGUCUCGGUCGUCUCGGCCAAGUUUUCUAAGGUCUAGGCCAGGUAAACUGUCGGCCUCGUCGUCUCGGCCAAGUCUCUCAGGUCUCUGCCAAGUUCCCCUAGUCUCGGUCAGGUAGACCAGGUCUCGGACAGUCAGGUAGGUCUCGGUCAGGAGACUAGGGGUUGGCCUCGCCCAUACCGGUACAAAUUAUUUUUAUUUUUACUCAAUGUGAUAUACUACAUGUUGGACGUAUAUAGAACUUGUAAUGGCAAUUUUCUUGAAGUAACUAAGAGUGAGGUUGCAACUUUGGGUAGGGCAUAAUGAAAUAGAGGCGAAGCUACGUUUCAUAGGCACAGAAAGCAACAAAAAGAGCAAGAAGAAGAAAGGCUGUUAGCAAAACGGGAAAAGAAAAUAAAAGUAACAGGAAAUGAAGGGUAAAGCCUAGAAGGUUGUUAUUUGUCAAGUGUUAAAAAGAGCUAACGAAAACUUUCACUAUCCCCUUUGUUACUUUUCAGAAACGUAGACCACAGUGAAAUCACUAUUUUCUGAGGGAGCAAUACUAUCUGCACAGCAAUCACAUAUUUUUUUUUUUUUAUCAGCAAAUAGCAAUGAAAUUAAAUAAGACCACUUCAGGGGUGGUCCAACCCUUAUACAACAAAACAGAUUUUCUCAAAGAGCCUUUCCAUCUACAUAUCAACCAAAAGACCUCCUACUCUCUUUCCCAUCUCAAUCAAUAAUAAAAGAAACCCAAGAAACAACCUUUUACAUAAAAACUAAACAGAAUACAACUGAAAUAUAAAAUGACACAUGAACAGUUGCACUCAAACUCUCGUUGGAAUACAACAAUGACGCAGCAACACUAUUAUUCUUGGGAUUAUAAUGUCAAAAUGUUGAUGUCAUGAAGCAAGAGAAAUAAAGACAGAAGAUGAGUCAAUUAUUUGUUGAUUGGAAAGAAGAAGUGACAUUUGUUUGGAAUAAUCGAUGGGGCUGAUGACAUUUACAGUUAAUCAAAAUCUUGACUUGUAAUGAAACUGUGGAAGAGAUGAUCCAAGUCACAGGCACCAUGGGCAGUAGAAAAUGCAAGAUGCAUGAUAUAGAAAGCAAAAGGGAGUUGGAAGUUGUCAAGUUAAAAGCUUCGAACAAGAGUAUGAUUGAUGUAGGUAAGAUGAGCUUGGUAUGGAGAAAGGUCCUACAAAGAUCGAAAUUGAUGCAAAGAAGGUGUGAAAAGUGAGAACAAGGUCAUGUGAGAGUGUGAGGAAGUGCAUGCAGGAAAGGAAGGGAUGAGGAAGGGAGUGGGUAUGUGUGUGUGAAGAAGACGGUGGUUUGUUGGGCACCUGUCUUUUGUCUUAUAAAUGGUGGCACGUGAUGCUCACGGGUCCCCCACGAAUGUCUGUCUUCGAUCCCUCCAAACUUUUAAUCAAUCAACAACCAUCUU